UGAUGUUGAGGGCCUAGGAGCGGUUUGGUGACUGUGCCAGAUUGUGGUGAUUUAGUUUGGCGUUGUGGCACCAGGUGUGGUGUCGUGGAGACAUUCUGGUAGAGGAGGUCUGUGGGUUCAAUGGAACUGUUAUCAUUCAGCUUUUCAGACCAGCCUGUGUGUGCCGGUACUUUGACACACAAACACAAACACUACGAGUGGAGACGAGGAGGAUUCUGGGAUGUGGACGAGACAGUGAAUCACAGAAAAGGCAGGUACCCACAGGACAGUUCCAGCCCAGCCCUGCGGACCGUCAGUGGGGAUUGACAGACCACAGCUGUCCUCAGUUACAGCAACAGAAGAACGGGGUUAUGGGAAAAAGGAGGGAGAGAAAGAGGUGGAGCUGUCAUUGGGAGUGGGGGUAAGGGAAAAGAGGACGUUUCUGAACUCAGACAUCAUCACAACUCCCAACAGCCGCUUUCUCUACCAUCUCUUCGUUUUAUUGUCUUUCGUCCUCCUUCUCUACCAUCUCUUUCUCCCUACUUUUCCCUCUCUCCUCCUCCUCCUCCUCCUCCCCACUCUCACCCAUCUCUUCUAUUUCCCCCCUCUCUUUCCCUCCUUCCCUCUCUUUCUCUCGUUCUCCCUGUCGUCCUAAAGCAGCACGCCUUGCUGUGGCUGGUCAAACGGAACCAAGUCAGGUGUUUCAGUGAGGUUUGGUCCCCUUCAACCAGCUACUGCGUCGUGAACUCAGUCAGCAGACAGACAGACAGACAGACAGACACCCGCAGCGGGAACGAAAGACAGAGUAGCCCUACUGCUGCAUGUUUUUGUGUCUACAUAAAUCAGGCGUUAAUGUGUUCUGUGUCUACAUAAAUCAGGUGUUAAUGUGUUCUGUGUCUACAUAAAUCAGGUGUUAAUGAACAACAUUUUGUACACUAUGGAUUCCUCUUCCUUUUCAUACUGUAUGUUUCGGUCUUGUUUAUUAUUGUGCUUGAAAAAUAAAGAAUUAAAGAUGUGA
rnacentral:lncRNA from 1 species